rnacentral:rRNA from 1 species
GUAGUGGCGAACGAAAAGGAAUGAGCCCAGCGCAGAACGUUCCGGGGCACUCGCCCUGAGAAUGAAUGUUGCGUUAAGGAUAUUGGCAUACACCCAUGGCAGUUACACUUUGCUAAGUCAGCCUCGAAUGGUUCUCGUGAAGCCGGUAACACGGUGAGACUCCAGGGAGGGUGUUAGACCCGUGUGAAGGUGCAAUCUGCUUGGGCAAGCCGAUAUCCCGAGAGUCGCGUUGUUUGAACAUGCAGCGCUAAGCAGGUCGUAGACUCGAUCUAAGGCUAAAUAUGUCCACAGAACCGAUAGUUAACAAGUACCGUGAGGGAAAGUUGAAAAGCACUCCGUAACGGAGAGUCAAAAGACCGUGAAACCACUCAGAGUAUAAGCCAAUGGUGUCUGGAAGGUCCUGUGCUUACAUCUUGGUGUCAAGGACUCAUGCGAACCUCAGCACUUGCGGGAGCAAUCUCCGUUGCUUUGGUAAGCUUGUCCGCUGAAGCACUCCGUUGACCCACCUGGCUCGUUGUGAGGUGUCCUGAGAGCAAAGCGAAGUGUUAAGAUUGGCUUGGAGUUGGGCGUGGGCGUCUCGAUGCCUUUCGCACUCUCCUUUUCGAGCACUUCUUCAGUUCUAUUCGCACAAAGUGUGGUAGUCUUGGAGUGUGCGCUGCUUGACGCUCUCUGGAACCAUCCUCUGCGACGAAGCUUCAAUGCCUUAGUGAGCGGCCGUCUUCCUCCUCGGGAGUCGGUACAUUGGCGCGGCUUGCACACUGUCGGUGCUCCGCUGUUCAACUCUGGCGCAAGGUGUUACGUCCGAUACCAUUGGUCACGUCUCGAAACACGGGCCAAGGAGUAUAGCGUGUGUGCAAGUCUAAGGGUUCCACAAAACCUGGAGGCGUAGUGAAAGCGAGUUAUGGUGUCUCACUGGACUGAUGGAGAAGGCAGUGAUGCGUGAUCCCGCAAGUCCCGGACUCGUCGUCUGCACUGCUUCGGUUGUGUUAGCGCGAGCACCGCAGAGCACAUACGCUAUGACCCGAAAGAUAGUGAACUAUGCUUGGCGAGGGUGAAGCCCCAGGAAACUGGGGUGGAGGCCCGUAGCCGUUGUGACGUGCAAAUCC